rnacentral:rRNA from 1 species
GACGUAGGGCGCGAGCGUUAAUCGGAAUUACUGGGCGUAAAGCGUGCGCAGGCGGUUUUGUAAGCCAGGUGUGAAAGCCCCGGGCUUAACCUGGGAAUGGCAUUUGGGACUGCAAGGCUUGAGUGCGGCAGAGGAGACUGGAAUUCCUGGUGUAGCAGUGAAAUGCGUAGAUAUCAGGAGGAAUACCGAUGGCGAAGGCAGGUCUCUGGGCUGACACUGACGCUCAUGCACGAAAGCGUGGGGAGCAAACAGG